CUGGCCCUACGGGACGCAGCAGUGGGGAAUAUUGCACAAUGGGCGAAAGCCUGAUGCAGCAACGCCGCGUGAGUGAUGAAGGCCUUCGGGACGUAAAGCUCUGUCCUCAAGGAAGAUAAUGACGGUACUUGAGGAGGAAGCCCCGGCUAACUACGUGCCAGCAGCCGCGGUAAUACGUAGGGGGCUAGCGUUAUCCGGAAUUACUGGGCGUAAAGGGCGCGCAGGUGGUUUCUUAAGUCAGAGGUGAAAGGCUACGGCUCAACCGUAGUAAGCCUUUGAAACUGGGAAAAGUGAGUGCAGGGAGG
rnacentral:rRNA from 1 species